AACGAACGCUGGCGGCAGGCUUAACACAUGCAAGUCGAGCGCCCCGCAAGGGGAGCGGCAGGCGGGUGGGGUGCCCAUGGGAACGUACAUUUUGGUUCGGAACAACCUCGGGUAACUGGUGCUAAUACCGAAUAAGCCCUAACAGCGGAAGACUUAUCGCCGUAAAAUCGGCCCGCGUCUGAUUAGCUACUUGGUGGGGUAUCGGCACACCAAAGCGACGUUCAGUAGCUGGGCUGAGGGCAUGACAAGCCAACAUGGGACUGAGACACGGCCCAGACCCCUACGGAAGGCAGCAGUGGGGAAUAUUGGACAAUGGAGGCAAGCCUGAUCAAGCCAUGCCGCGUGAGUGAGGAAGGCCUUAGGGUUGUAAAGCUCCUUUGGCCGGGAAGAGAAUGACGGUACCGGAAGAAUAAGCCCCGGCUAACUACGUG
rnacentral:rRNA from 1 species